rnacentral:rRNA from 1 species
CGAGUGCCUCAAGCGUUAUCCGGAAUUAUUGGGCGUAAAGGUUGUGUAGGUGGUUGUAUUAGUCUCUUGUUAAAUUCUUCGGCUUAACCGGGGGCAUGCAAGGGAAACGGUACGACUCGAGGAUGCGAGGGGUCUGCGGAACUCAUAGUGUAGCGGUGAAAUGCGUUGAUAUUAUGGGGAACACCAAAAGCGAAGGCAGCAGACUGGAGCACUCCUGACACUGAAACAAGAAAGCGUGGGUCGCGAAUGAGAUUAGAUACCCCAGUAGUCCACGCCCUAAACGAUGAUCUCUAGAUAUUCGGAGUAUCGACCCUCUGAGUGUCGUAGCUAACGCGUUAAGAGAUCCGCCUGGGUAGUACGACCGCAAGGUUA